UGUGAACCAAGAAACAAAAACUUGCUUGGCCCAAAGGCCCAAGUCUUCCAAAAAUACCAGUUCAGUAACAAACCAACAGCCACACCACCAACAUCCAACAUGGGGCGGUGAAAUCCUCGAAGAACAUGUGAGAAUCGUAGCUGAAGUAUGACGAAGUGGAUCACGCAUAUCCCUAUGCCCUCAUCGCCAACACGCCGUCCACGAGGAUUGGAGGUUCUCACUGUACCGACUCGUUUUCAGGUUCCGCGACGGACCAAAACCGAUGAACAUGAAUUCGAUUGCACGCCUAAUCGAAACAAAUAGAGAAGGAGAAGCCUACCUGGCUUAUUGAGGGUUCCAGGAGACUCGAUUCUCGUUCUUCCCUUCUUCUGUUUCCUUAUGUUGCAAAGUUGUUGCGAUUCGUUUGCAUAUUACUACUGAAUUGAAGCGAAGAUGAUGAAUCAUUGUUGAUACGUGGCAUUGCCGAUUGGAAUGAUUAAAAUUCCCUGGUAUGCUUUCGUUUCUCCUUCUCUUUCUUCUUCUGUGUUUGAUUUUCCUUCCUUGAUUCUGUUUUCGACUUCUUCUUCUCCUUUUCUGAUUCUGUUUUCUUCUUUUUCUUUUGGUUAUGCCGUUUUUGAAAAUUUCUGGUGUUAUGGUUGUCGUGAGGGUUAUGAUUGGUGGCGGUUGAGAGUUACGCGAAGUCUCGUUUUUCUGCCGGGAAGUCUUAUCGCAGUGAUUGGAAAAUGAGAGGUUCGGUUGGAGUGAAAGGUUGAAGAAGUUAUUGUUAAGAGGGAGUGGAGAGUGUUAAGAGGAUGAAGUUGUUGUGAGUUAGAAGAAGUGGAGUUUCAGGGUGAACAAGGUUCUGUUAGGGAGAAGGAGGUUAUGGAGAAUGGAGAAUGGAGUUAGUUGUGUUCUGUUAUAGGUUGGUUAGAGGUUGAGAAAACAGUUGCAGGGUUGGUUAUCCCUGUUCUAUCUGUUAGCAACUCGGUUCAAAUUCUGUUAUUUGUUAGAGGCCUUUUAUGGUUGAAGGUGGAAAAAAAAAAGACCCUUUUAAUCGUGAAGGUUUUAUGAGAGUUCGAAAUCAGUUGGGAAUUCGGUUACGGCUUGGGAGUUUGUUAUUGAGGGAGGUUCCAGAAGCUGCGGUCCUGAAUUGUUGGCUGGAAUUCGAGUUAUUCUCCGACUACUAUGGCCAAAGUUGUAUACUCGUUUCAAGAACCAUGUAAACAACACUUCGAGUCAACCCAAAGCAGCAAGGUCAAAGUUAGAGAGAACACUCUUCUUCUUGAUUUUCUUGGAUGACAUGAAGAAGAAUAGAAAGAAGGUUAGCAGCAUUGUUGCAGCAAUUCAGAGCUUAUUAGGGUUGGACCAAGGCUUGGAGUUUUAUCGUGGAGCUAUGGCUUGUGCACUUCGUGCAGGUCUCGGUUCACAUUGGCUUUUGUUAGUUUCGCAUAUGCAUUGCAGCGACAGUUUUAAUGCCAUUUCGGAAUAGGUUGGGUUGAAGUUCGUUGGACAAUUGGCUUCUUUCUUGAAGGUUCUCUAUGAAGGAUUCAUAAGCUACUCCCAACCAUCAAGUGAAGAACAUGUCCGGAAAGGAUGAUCAAUGAGUUGUUGCAAGGCCUUACGACGUGCUCUUUUAAUUUAUCAACGGAAUGACCAAGUUCUUUGAAUUUCUUACUAGGCACUUCAUCCGACAUUGGCUCAAAAUUGGCAAAAGCAUCAACGAUUGGCUUCAAUAACUUAAGUAUCUCUUAUGCCUUAUGAUAGCUGCGAAAUAGAGGAUAUGUUGUCAACAAGAAUUUUCAAACAACGAUAUCUUCACAACACUUUGGUUGUUUCUAGUGAUGGGAUAAGGCUUAUGAACUUAGGACAUUCGGAGCAAGACCACCAUGAAUGAUUUGAAGAAAUUGGUUACUUACAAGUGAAGCAAUUUUGGCCAUGAAUUUAGAAAUGAAACGAAAGCAUGAGGAGCAAAUUGGGAACUAGGAAUUAUGCUUAUGGGUUUAGGUGGUUUGAUUCACGUUUGGAAAUGUAUGGAAAGUGAUUAGAUGCUACGGAAUUGGUGUAAUUUCAUUUCUUUUUGAAUGGUUUGAAUUCUAAUGAAUGUAUGAUUUUGGUGUAAUGUUUGUAAAUCUUGCAAUUUUCCCGUA